AUAGGAAUCAAUCAGACUUCCUGUUAAAAUGCAGUUUCUGAUUCAGUAGCCUGGGGUGGGGCCUGGGAUUUUGCAUUUCUAACACACUCCCUGUUGCUGCAGUG
rnacentral:pre_miRNA from 1 species